rnacentral:piRNA from 1 species
AGGAAUAGGGGGACUUUUGCUAA